AUAACCUGGAGGAAGGUGGGGAUGACGUCAAAUCAUCAUGCCCCUUAUGCUUAGGGCUACACACGUGCUACAAUGGGUAGUACAGAGGGUUGCCAAGCCGUAAGGUGGAGCUAAUCCCUUAAAGCUACUCUCAGUUCGGAUCGUAGGCUGAAACUCGCCUACAUGAAGCUGGAGUUACUAGUAAUCGCAGAUCAGAAUGCUGCGGUGAAUGCGUUCCCGGGUCUUGUACACACCGCCCGUCACACCACGGGAGUUGGAGACGCCCGAAGCCGAUUAUCUAACCUUUUGGAAGAAGUCGUC
rnacentral:rRNA from 1 species